rnacentral:lncRNA from 1 species
AGGGUCCUCAACAUAGCCAGGUCGAAGUUCAUUUUGUCCUCUAUUUCAUAUUCCAAUUAUAUAAAAGAAAACGUACAGUGUCAAACCGAAUAUUGUUCAUAUCUUAAUUUCUUUCAAUUUAUGAGAUCUAACUCAACAGCCAGGAACUAUGACCACAUGUUCUCUGUGGUAGGGUCAUAUCACCGACUAUUCUUCUUGCGGUACCAAUGUAUUAGCCCCCAUUGGCAGGGUCCUCAACAUAGCCCGACUGCAAGCCUGAAUCUAUUUCAAGUCAUAAUCUUUUCUUAUAUUAUGUUUAAUGUUCCAAACCAAAGGGUACAAUGUCAGAGUAAUUAAACACAAUUCGAACCAGAAGCAAAUACGUCCAAUCAGAAUCAUACAAUAUUCUAAAAUACACAUAUAAUCCAUGCAUCAAAUUCGAAAUCACGAACAAUUCAAUUCGUAAAACAUAUACAUAGUUUGCCGAUAAAUCUAGUAAAGAGGUUACAUCACUUACCUUGCAAACGCGAUCCACAACAAAUCCAAUUAAUUCUGCAAUCCCUCGC